CUAGAACUGCUUCAGUUUCAUUUUUCUAGCAACUACGGAUCCCUUAUUACACUUGUAAACUGUUUACUGCCAUUUAAUCAACGGCUUAACGAAUUGUUCUGUACCCGGGAGAACUUAAACAGAUUCAUUAAUGGCUACGAAAUUUAGGCCUGGUGAUGGUGACUGGACAUGUCCUGACGAAAGCUGUGGUAACGUCAAUUUUGCACGGAGAAGUGCCUGCAACCGUUGUGGCAAAGCAAAAGAAGAUGACAAAGCAAAGGCAAAAAAGCUUGGCAUGGAAAUCGGGAAAGAUGCAGCGGAAAAAAGCAAAGGUCUUUUCAGUGCAGAUGAUUGGAUGUGUACCAAGUGCGGAAAUGUUAACUGGGCAAGGAGGGGAACUUGCAAUGUUUGCAAUGCACCUCGAUUUGGUGAAGUGGAAGAACGAACAGGUUAUGGAGGUGGUUACAAUGAACGUGGAACUGUCGAAUAUAAGGAAAGACAAGAAUCUGACGACGAAUUUGAUGAAUUUGGACGGAUAAAGAAAAAGUUUCGAAAAAAUGAUGUGAACUCACCGUUGAACGAGCUGCCUUCAACGUCACAUGAUCAACAUAUCGUAGCGGACGAUGAAGAGGAGGAAGAAGAUGAUGACGAUGGAGAUCUAUCAAAAUACGAUCUUAGCGGUUGGGGUGAUGAUGACAAUGAAAAUCCGGAAGAAAAGAAGUCUUCACCUACCAACGAUGUCCCGAAAAAAGCUGAAAACGGUAGCAAAUCUAGCGCAACACGCCAAUCAGAGAAGUCCAAGUCUCCUUGUCGAUCCAGAUCGUCUUCUCGUUCCGGUUCUAGGUCAAGGUAACACCCGGUAGCGACACCCAGGCUAUCGGGGAAAAAUUUCUGUUUUUCUUGUUGAAUCGAAAUGGCCCGAAAUUUUUGUGUUUGGCCAUCAAAAUUAUCAUUUUUGAUAUUUGGUAACCGCUUGUAAGGUCCGUAUCUCAUUCGAACCCAAACGGUUAUUCGAACCAUUUUCAAGUUUAAUUACAGAAGAACUGUAGACUACGUAGGAUUUUUCUAUAGCAGGAGCAGAAAGUCGGAUAAGCGCAGCGAUCGCCGUCGACGCCGUUCUAGAUCUACAAGCGACUUUUCUCGCAGCCGAUCGCGGUCCAGGUCUCGUUCCAGAAACCGCAGACGUCGUUAAAUAACUCCCCAACUUCAAUUAGAGUAAGCUGAUUGUUUACCGACCGAACCGCUUGCAAACUAUUUUCUUUUCACCCAUGGUUUAGUGAUUUAGUAAUCAUUUUUCACCUUACUGCAAUUUAUUUUCUCAUUGCAGAAAUAAACAACAUUUACUUCCAA